rnacentral:rRNA from 1 species
UAGGGAAUCUUCCGCAAUGGACGCAAGUCUGACGGAGCAACGCCGCGUGAGUGAAGAAGGAUUUCGGUUCGUAAAACUCUGUUGUUAGAGAAGAACAGCGCAUAGAGUAACUGUUAUGCGUGUGACGGUAUCUAACCAGAAAGCCACGGCUAACUACGUGCCAGCAGCCGCGGUAAUACGUAGGUGGCAAGCGUUGUCCGGAUUUAUUGGGCGUAAAGCGAGCGCAGGCGGUCAAUUAAGUCUGAUGUGAAAGCCCCCGGCUCAACCGGGGAGGGUCAUUGGAAACUGGUUGACUUGAGUGCAGAAGAGGAGAGUGGAAUUCCAUGUGUAGCGGUGAAAUGCGUGGAUAUAUGGAGGAACACCAGUGGCGAAGGCGACUCUCAGGUCUGUAACUAACGCUGAGGCUCGAAAGCGUGGGUAGCAAACAGG